rnacentral:lncRNA from 1 species
UCACAAGUCACACAGUAUUCCAGUCAAAUACAGAUGGUUGAUAAAAGUCAUCCAUCUUCCCUCUCCACCCUCCCACAGCCCCUCAACCACUGCCCUGAAACUUAUAUGCUGUUAUCCACAGCUCCGUCUGGAGCAUCACAGCUAUUGUCAACCCUGACGCUCUUUCUGAAAAAACACUGGAUGGACAUCAGAACUAUUUCUUUAAGGAUGUUACUGAGUCACACAGGAAAACUUGCCUUAUGAUUUUGGAUACACGGUUCUGAUUUGACGAAACGUGAUAACUAGAGAAUCACCCAAUCUACUCCCAUUUUCAACUCUAAAUCAUCAGAUUGUCUCAGAUCCAAAGCACACACAGACCAGCCUGGCCAAUUUGGUGAAACUCCACCUCUACUAAAAGUAUAAAAAUUAUCCAGGUGUGGUGGUGGGCGCCUGUAAUCCAAGCUACUUGGGAGGCUGAGGGAGGAGAAUCCCUUGAACCUGGGAAAUGGAGGUUGCAGUGAGCAGAGAUCACACCACUGCACUCUAGCCUGGGCCACAAAUCAACAACAACAACAACAAAAAAACAAAGCGCACACAGAGACUGAGGUCCUCUUUGGCAUUGAGACGAUGGCUAUGCAAGUCCCGACUAGCAAGUGCAAACUUCCCAGCUUCACUUCUGCCAGUGUCCCUUCACCCCUUCUCAACCCCACUGGGAGGCAGGAGGGUGCUUGACAAUAGCCUUGGCAUCACACUGCCAGGGAGUAAUAGGAACUGUUACAAUUCUGAGAUUCUAUAUGGGAGUGUCUAGUUGCAGGAAACAAGCUCAGGGCUUCCACUGAUUCUACAUUAUGGCUGUGGCUUGCCUUUUCACUUCUUGUGUCCUGUUUAAGAAAUAUCUGCUAUCCCAAGCAUCUGGCAUCUUUCUUGACAUACGUAGCAGUUGCUUUUUGACAGCUUGCUUCUGGAGUGAAUGAAUAAAUUAAUAAAUUUAUUCAUUUGAUAUUCAGUGACAUGUGAUAUUCAGUGAUCCAUUUUGCAGAUAACACUAACAAAGUUGACCUUAGAAUUGGAGUGCCCGGGUUAGAACCUUGCUGGUACCACCUGCUUACUGCAUGCUUCUGAUGUGAGUUCAGGAGAAGCCACUGGCAAGGACAGCAAAGAACAGGAGAACACUCUAGCUUCCCUGAUAGCAUUCAAGGUGCUGUCCAAAAGUUUCACUCUUGUCACCCAGGCUGGAGUGGAAUGGCACAAUCAUGGCUCACUGCAACCUCUGCCUUUCCGGCUAAGGCAGGAGAAUGGCUUGAACCCAGGAGGCGGAGUUUGCAGUGGGCUGAGAUCACGCCACUGCAUUCCAGCCUGGAUGACAGAGUGAGACUCCGUCUCAAAAAAAAAAAAAAAAAAA